rnacentral:tRNA from 2 species
GGCGCUGUGGCUUAGUUGGUUAAAGCGCCUGUCUAGUAAACAGGAGAUCCUAAAAUCAACUCUCAGCAGUGCCU